rnacentral:lncRNA from 1 species
UUAUACUUGAUGCUUUUAUGAAUGUCAUCCUCGCUGUAAGACUUGAUGACAAAAAAUUUAGCAUCGGUGUAUUCUUCUGGAAAAUCAGCCUUGUUAUAUUGUUCACGGUCUGGAGUAGUACUAUUCUUCUCUUUCUCUUCAUCAACAGUGUUCACUGGCACAUUCUGCCCUUUGACGGUCAGAACAGUUGGAACAAAAACUUUUUGGUUCUUACCACCCUUGGCCCUAGGUCCCCUGUUCAGUUCAUUCAAACCAUCCGUGUUCUCA